AAGUCGUAACAAGGUUUCCGUAGGUGAACCUGCGGAAGGAUCAUUAACACGUAUCCAAACGUUAAAACCCCCCCCCGUGAACCUUCAUCCUGCUCUUGUAACCCGCGUAGUUCGCAAGCUCUGAGAAAGCAAAGCCCGGAAAGAUGUAGGGAUUCAGAGACCUGUGGCUACGUGCGAACAUUGGAACAGUUACAAUCGAGCGGUCGUUCUACAGGCAAUGUUUCCCCAAGCAGUCAGUCUACGAUUCCUGUAUACUGUACACUCGGGCAGGAGUUUUCACUCGGGCAGGAGCUUUGCCAAAGGGUCCCCAUGCCCCCUAAUAACCCCACAGUUUAAUGUGAAGCUCAAUGUAAUACAUUGGGUAAAAAAACCGAACAACUGUUAACAAUGGAUAUCUUGGUUCUC
rnacentral:misc_RNA from 1 species